GAUGAAGAACGUAGCGAAAUGCGAUAAGUAAUGUGAAUUGCAGAAUUCAGUGAAUCAUCGAAUCUUUGAACGCACAUUGCGCCCCCCAGUAUUCUGGCGGGCAUGCCUGUUCGAGCGUCAUUUCAACCAUCAAGCCCUGCUUGUGUUGGGGUCCUGCGGCUGCCCGCAGGCCCUGAAAACCAGUGGCGGGCUCGCUAGUCACACCGAGCGCAGUAGCACAUCUCGCUCAGGGCGUGCGGCGGGCUCCAGCCGUUAAAGCACCCACCUUUCGCAAGGUUGACCUCGGAUCAGGUAGGAAUACCCGCUGAACUUAAGCAUAUAAUAAGCGGAGGA
rnacentral:misc_RNA from 1 species